UGUGCACCGCAUGCUUGUAGUACCUACAGAG
rnacentral:piRNA from 1 species